ensembl:misc_RNA Metazoa_SRP Metazoan signal recognition particle RNA
GCCGGGCAUGGUGGCGCAUGCCUGUAGUCCCAGCUACUUGGGGGCUGAGGCAGGAGGAUCACUUGAGCCCAGGAGGUGGAGGUUGCAGUGAGCCAAAAUAGUGCCAUUGCACUCCAGCCUGGAUGACAGAGUGAGACCCUUUCUCAA